GCCAGGGCACUGGCUUGGCCGAGGGGUUAUGCCCCACCUGCCCAUAGUUCUACCAAGGACCAGUCACCCCCAAUCCCAGAAGAAGGGACUUAGAACAAAAGGUCUCUCACCCACUUUCCAGAUUGGAUAAAUGGAGACCAAAGAGUUCUUCCUUUGCUCAGGAUAGGAGAUAGGAACCCCACCAGCGAAAUCACUAUCUUGGGGCCCAGAUUGUCCACAUGUGAAACAGGGAGAAGAGAGGGGAGGGACAUGACCACGUCUACACCUCAGGAAAAUUUAUCCAGCAGCAUGUAAAGAAAGGAUGGAAGAAAGGGGAGAAUCCAAAGAUGAGCAGAUGCAGGCCCUGCCCUCAGGAAGCUUACAGUCAUGGGGAGACAGGAGGAACAGACCCAGACCCUGUGCUCAGGAAGCUCAUCUGAUAAGGGUCAUAAGAAAAGUGAGGAAUCAAAGCCAGAGUUGUUCAGAUGCUGGAGAGAUCACUUCUGCCUAGGGAAGAUCUGGGAAAGUUUCCUAAAGAGGAUGAGUUUUGAAGAGAUGAAGAAGCUAAGGCUUCAGAGAGUUUUAAAGCAACCAGCAGAAAGAACAACAGGACUGGGAUUAGAGGACCUUGGGAUCCACUCUUCAUUUGGU